GUGCAUUCUGGGAUCAUUUUGGCUAUUGGCGGCUUGCCUCGCAUUUGAGCUUGGUGGGUGGUUGAUAGUUGGGUGGUUUCGGGGAUGUCUAUCGUAAAGGUGCAUGAGUGGUGUUUGGUUUGUUACGGGUGGUUGGCUCUUUGCUUGCGCAACAACUUCCACCUGGCAUACCUCUUCAGUCUUGUGUCAAUGCUUGUAUCGCAUUGAAUGCACGGUGGGUUUCUUGUGUUGCAUUCCUAAUUGAUGGUAUCGUUUGAUGAAUUGAUGUCCAUUUUCGUCUUGCGUUGCACAUGCGAUGUGAGAUGAACCUUAAAGCAGCCUUUGUGAUCCACUCUUUUGAUGCACACGCAUUGAUUUUGUGGCCCAUUGAGUGUUGCUUGGUCUCAUGGAUAUGGAACCUUGUGUGGGCAUGGGAUCUUUUAUUAGUUCCUUGUUUGCCCUAGUUAAGCUUUUCAAAUACGAUUUCCUAUCAUGUGCUAACGUGGUAGGCUAUAUCGAAUAUGAAUGCUACCUGGUUGAUCCUGCCAGUAGUCAUAUGCUUGUCUCAAAGAUUAAGCCAU
rnacentral:misc_RNA from 1 species